CGAUGCAUGGGAUGUGAUUUUUCUAAUAAUAUUUGAUCUUAGUUAUCUAUUUUAUUAUAUCUAUUCUAUAUAUAUUUUAAAAAUGAUUAAAAUAAUUAAAAUAAUUAUCUAACGAUCUUGAUUCCAUGAAGUCCCUUCCUAAAGAUGAAUUAGUUUCAACGGGAGUCCAUUUUGGAAAAGAUAUUUGCAAUAAAAGAGGAGG
rnacentral:lncRNA from 1 species